GGGGAGCGGCAGACGGGUGAGUAACGCGUGGGAAUCUACCCAUCUCUACGGAAUAACUCAGGGAAACUUGUGCUAAUACCGUAUACGCCCUUUUGGGGAAAGAUUUAUCGGAGAUGGAUGAGCCCGCGUUGGAUUAGCUAGUUGGUGGGGUAAAGGCCUACCAAGGCGACGAUCCAUAGCUGGUCUGAGAGGAUGAUCAGCCACAUUGGGACUGAGACACGGCCCAAACUCCUACGGGAGGCAGCAGUGGGGAAUAUUGGACAAUGGGCGCAAGCCUGAUCCAGCCAUGCCGCGUGAGUGAUGAAGGCCUUAGGGUUGUAAAGCUCUUUCACCGGAGAAGAUAAUGACGGUAUCCGGAGAAGAAGCCCCGGCUAACUUCGUGCCAGCAGCCGCGGUAAUACGAAGGGGGCUAGCGUUGUUCGGAAUUACUGGGCGUAAAGCGCACGUAGGCGGAUCGAUCAGUCAGGGGUGAAAUCCCAGAGCUCAACUCUGGAACUGCCUUUGAUACUGUCGAUCUAGAGUAUGGAAGAGGUGAGUGGAAUUCCGAGUGUAGAGGUGAAAUUCGUAGAUAUUCGGAGGAACACCAGUGGCGAAGGCGGCUCACUGGUCCAUUACUGACGCUGAGGUGCGAAAGCGUGGGGAGCAAA
rnacentral:rRNA from 1 species